rnacentral:rRNA from 1 species
AUUGAACGCUAACGGCGUGCUUAACACAUGCAAGUCGAGCGGCAGCAUGAUCUGUAGCAAUACAGAUUGAUGGCGAGCGGCGGACGGGUGAGUAAUGCAUAGGAAUCUGCCUUGUAGUGGGGGAUAACCCGGGGAAACUCGGGCUAAUACCGCAUAAUCUCUACGGAGCAAAGUGGGGGAUCGUAAGACCUCACGCUAAAAGAUCAGCCUAUGUUGGAUUAGCUAGUUGGUGAGGUAAGGGCUCACCAAGGCGACGAUCCAUAGCUGGUCUGGGAGGAUGAUCAGCCACACUGGGACUGAGACACGGCCCAGACUCCUACGGGAGGCAGCAGUGGGGAAUAUUGGACAAUGGGCGAAAGCCUGAUCCAGCAACGCCGUGUGUGCGAAGAAGGCCUUCGGGUUGUAAAGCACUUUUAGUUGGGAAGAAAAGCUCAUGGGUAAUAUCCAUGAGUGCUGACGUUACCAACAGAAAAAGCACUGGCUAACUCUGUGCCAGCCGCCGCCGUAA